GCAUGAAAGAAUAGGCAUUUAAUCCAAGUGGUCAACGUUUCAGUUCACAACUAUGAACUUUCCUCAGGACACUGCUGGCUUUCUUUUUGGAGAAUAUAUAUAUAUAUUUUAAUUGGGGUAGCCCCCAAAAUAUUGGGACAUAAAAAAUGACAACUCUGUUCCGCAGAGUAGCUGUUGACAUUAUAGUUGCGCAGGAACUUUGUUGACUCUAGAGAACCUCGGGCAAAUCGCACAUCCCCGUGGCAGCGACUUUGCAUGCGGAUGUCAUCCAUAUCAACUUUCGAUUUCAGUUUCUGCGCCUACCAUUGUGACCACGGGUAACAGGGAAUCAGGCUUCCAUUCCAUACAGGGACCCUGAGAAAUGGCUACCACAUACAAGGAAGGCAACAGGCGCGCAAAUGACCCACUCCCGACGCGGGAAGUUAGUGACGACAAAUAACAAUACAGGACUCUUUAGAGUCCACUUGAAAUCCUUUAACUCUGAUAAAUUGGAGGGAAGUCUGGUGCAGAGCCACUGACCUGUGCAUGCUGCAGCUGAAACUCCACU